UACAGAGGCCUCGAGCGUUAGGCGGAAUCACUGGGGUUAAAGCGGGUGUAGGCGGACUUCUAAGUACCUUGUGAAAUCCCACAGCUUAACUGUGGAACUGCUUGGUAUACUGGUUGUCUUGAGGUACCUAGGGGCGAGCGGAACAAGUGGUGGAGCGGUGAAAUGCGUAGAUAUCACUUGGAACGCCAACGGUGAAACCAGCUCGCUGGGGGUAUCCUUACGCUGAGACACGAAAGCCAGGGGAGCAAACGGG
rnacentral:rRNA from 1 species